rnacentral:rRNA from 1 species
AUACGUAGGGGGCAAGCGUUAUCCGGAUUUACUGGGUGUAAAGGGAGCGUAGACGGCGAAGCAAGUCUGAAGUGAAAGGACGGGGCCCAACCCCGGAACUGCUUUGGAAACUGUUUGGCUGGAGUGCGGGAGGGGUAAGCGGAAUUCCUAGUGUAGCGGUGAAAUGCGUAGAUAUUAGGAGGAACACCGGUGGCGAAGGCGGCUUACUGGACCGUAACUGACGUUGAGGCUCGAAGGCGUGGGGAGCAAACAGGAUUAGAUACCCUGGUAGUCCACGCGGUAAACGAUGAUCACUAGGUGUCCGUGGGUAUGACCCAUGGGUGCCGCAGCCAACGCAAUAAGUGAUCCACCUGGGGAGUACGGUCGCAAGAAUGAAACUCAAAGGAAUUGACGGGG